rnacentral:rRNA from 1 species
GAUGAACGCUGGCGGCGUGCUUAACACAUGCAAGUCGAGCGAUGAAGUUUCCUUCGGGAAACGGAUUAGCGGCGGACGGGUGAGUAACACGUGGGUAACCUGCCUCAUAGAGUGGAAUAGCCUUCCGAAAGGAAGAUUAAUACCGCAUAAUGUUGAAAGAUGGCAUCAUAAUUUAACCAAAGGAGCAAUCCGCUAUGAGAUGGACCCGCGGCGCAUUAGCUAGUUGGUGGGGUAACGGCCUACCAAGGCGACGAUGCGUAGCCGACCUGAGAGGGUGAUCGGCCACAUUGGGACUGAGACACGGCCCAGACUCCUACGGGAGGCAGCAGUGGGGAAUAUUGCACAAUGGGGGAAACCCKGAUGCAGCAACGCCGCGUGAGUGAUGAAGGUUUUCGGAUUGUAAAGCUCUGUCUUUGGGGAAGAUAAUGACGGUACC